CCUUCGCAAUGCGCGCAAGCGUGACGAGGGGACUCCGAGUGGUGGACUUAGUCCACCUUUUUAUCAGAAUAAAUACCUGGUAGAAUAAGGGCCGGGCAAUAUCGGUGCCAGCCGCCGCGGUAACACCGAAGGCCCAAGUGGUAUCCACGAAUAUUGGGCUUAAAGAGUCCGUAGCUGGCUUGCUAAGUUCUCUGUGAAAUCUUCUGGCUUAACCAGAAGGCGUGCAGGGGGUACUGGCAGGCAUGGGAGUGGGGGAAGUCAGGAGUACUCACGGGGUAGAGGUAAAAUUCUGUAAUCCUGUGAGGACUACCAGUGGCGAAGGCGCCUGACUAAAACAUGUCCGACAGUGAGGGACGAAGGCUAGGAGAACGAAUCGGAUUAGAUACCCGAGUAGCCCUAGCAGUAAAUUAUGCAGACUGGGGUGUUGCAGUGGCUUUGCGCCGCUGCAGUGCCGUAGCGUAAGUGUUAAGUCUGCCGCCUGGGGAGUACGGCCGCAAGGUUGAAACUUAAAGGAAUUG
rnacentral:rRNA from 1 species